CUUUGUGCAAACCUGUCCCAUCUCAUGUGAGCUGGACUUGGUGACUAACUUCAGUCAAUAGAAUUAAACAGAAAUCACAUGCGUAAAAUAGAAACUAGGUCAUAAAAGUAGUAUGACAUCACCCGGAAUCUCUCUAUUGCUCUAGUUGUCAUGUCAAAAAACUACUUAGACAGACUAUGAAGAGAUACAUAGGGUGAGAAACGGAGGCCUUCAGCCAACAGCUGGGAGAAGCUGAGUCCCAUCAGCCAUUCAAAAGACUGCAGCCCCAGCCAAGAGUUUGAUGUAACCUCAGGAGAGACCCUGAGCCAGAACCACCUAGAAAUCUCCAAGUGAGAAGACCUUACUUGUCUUCUGAAAGUCUGAAAAGCUGGGAUACAUGAAGACUGCCAUCCCUUGAGUCACUUGCCCUGUAGCUGCCACUGUUGGAAAAGGGCUUGCUUCUGUGUCCUUGUGCCCACUUUGAAAAUCCCUGGGAAGUCCUUGGAGUCAGAUGAGCAGGCCUCCGCCACUCUGCCAAAAAGUCUGUUCAAUCAGGAGUCCCCAACCCCUGAGCCAUGGACUGAUAUGGAGCUAUGGUCUGUUAGGAACUGGGCUGCCCAGGAGGAGCAAUGGUGCUUCUACAAUUUCCUUAUAGGAGGAGUGAAGAGUAAGCAUUUGGAUUGGACCAGGAUUUGGAGAACUUGUCAUGUUGCUCUACGUGCAUAUGAAAUACAUCAUUGUAACUUAGAAUGU
rnacentral:lncRNA from 1 species